CAGUAGCCGCGGGAAUACGGAGGGUGCAAGCGUUGUCCGGAUUUAUUGGGUUUAAAGGGUGCGUAGGCGGCUAUUUAAGUCAGCGGUGAAAGACUCCGGCUCAACCGGAGCAGUGCCAUUGAUACUGGAUAGCUUGAGUGUUGGAGGGGUACAUGGAAUUGAUGGUGUAGCGGUGAAAUGCAUAGAUACCAUCAGGAACACCGAUAGCGAAGGCAUUGUACUGGCCAACAACUGACGCUGAGGCACGAAAGCAUGGGGAGCGAACAGGAUUAGAUACCCCUGUAGUCCCUGUCUCUUAUAC
rnacentral:rRNA from 1 species